UGUAUGUAUCCAGGAAUUUAGCCAUUUCCUCUAGGUUUCCUUCUGUGUUCUGUAUCUGAUUUCUAAUGAGAAUAGAUAUAUUACAGUAUCUAAAUGUUUUAAAAUUUAAUAAUUUUAAGACUAAUAUAGGAGAUAGGAAUAGGGAAACAAAGUUUGGCUGGCAGCAUGAUUGAUGAUGGUUGAAUUUUUGGUGAGGAAAUAGACCCCUGGCCUUGAUCUAGAUGGAGGAAGAGUAAGACAAAGAGCACUAUAUUGGUUGCCGAAUAAAACAAGGAGCAUUUAAAUUUGUCACGGUAACUUAAGAAGCAAAGAGUGAGAGGGCUCUGGAUGAACGGGAAGCAGGGUCAGCUGCAUGGAAGGCUGUAGGAGGCAGGGGUCAACCAGUGAGAUGCUUCCCAGGGGAAAAUGGCCGGGAGGCUUCUAGGAUCAGGAGUGUCAAAUAUGAACUAAUAGGCAGUGUUCUGUCAUGUGCUCCUUUACCUCUGACUCCUUAGUAAAUUUUAUUAAAACUAUCGAAAGAUGGUAGUUUUAUCAAAAUUAAAGUUGUUUGAGAACUUUAAAAUAGUCGAUGAACAGUUGUAAUCAUGGAAAAGCAUCCAUGUUUCCACAUUUGAUUUGAUGCAGACCGGAGAGAAACAGCAGAUGCAAGCAUUGAGAAUCCAAGUGAAAGACAGUUAAACAGAAGGAGGAUAUUAGAAGAGGGAGUAACUAUGAGAAAUGGAAAGUCCCUGAGAUUCCUGAGAAAUGCAGGGAGUUGACUAAGUGAGGGAUGGGGAAUAAACUCAUUUUUAUUUUAACAUUAAAGAGAAGAGUGCUCUCAUAAGAUGGAAGACUUGGAAACACCCACACAGCAGAUUCUUGGGUUGCACUAGCAAAUACAUCUGACGCUUUUUCAAAUGGCAGCUUCUCCUGACUUGUUACUGACAAGUUGAGCAAUGUCUUCAACUUUAUGGUGUAAACGGAACUGGGAAUCCUGCCUAUGACAUCCAACAUCCUCAUGUCAUGGGAGGAUCAUGGUAAAGUUAUUCUCAGCACCCAAAAUUCUACAUAGGAAAAUGAUUAUAUGGGUAAGGCAUAUUCAAAAUAAUCUGGUUUUAGUGCCCAAGCCCACAAAGCUGUGUUGUAUAAAAUAUUGCUUCCUUUAAAAUGAUGGUCUUGAGAAAACAACAUCAAACAGAACUUUUUGAGAUCAAGAACAGGAAAUGAAUGAUUCAGCAGGCUGGAUAUCACCCAAGGAGCUGUCUUCACAGCUGUAAGGAAUAGCUGUGAAAGGUUCCAGGGGACUUGCCUGGUACCAUUUGAAGGCAGUCAGGCUGGGAACCAGAGAGAGCUCCACAGAGUGUGGUGAAGAGCAGUUGGAGAGCCAAGCUUCAACCCCUCAGAAAUAUGUCAUCCUGGUGCCACUCUUUCUUGUCUUCUAACUGCCUCUGAAUCCACAUUUGGAGAUGUUCCAUGGUGACUCAGGACUUGAGAGAAAGCAAGCAUCAUCCAUGGCAGGAAAGUCAAGGUGUUUGUUCUGCUCUGAGAGACUGAAAGGAUGAUUUAUCAUGGAAGCUGACAUUGCUGUACUGUUUUCCAAAAUCUAAUAUAGUUCUGGUUAUCUGGAAAGGACUGCCUUUGGGCAAAGCUGGGGUGAGAGUGCAGUUAGUGCUGAUUCAUUUGUGUGAUCUCUCUCUCUCUCUCUCUCAUAUCUUAAACUACAAUUAGCAAACAACCAGAUUUUGGCUGCUAUCAUCUUAUGUCUGCCCAGUGAUUCUUGCCUGUACAACACUGCUGACUCUGUGGAGUACAUUUUGGAGGAAAUAGCCCAGGCAUUAAGAUUUGAGACCUGACUUUGGAAAAGAGUAGAAGCCCUCAAGUGCAUCUUCUUGAACACAUGGUGCCUUCCUUUAGCAGAAGAGCAAAACCCAUCUACCUCCUUGAUUGCUCCAGCAUGGGGCAGCUAGCCUUCAUUUGGCAUUUGUCAGCAACCAAGAAUGGGCCUUCAGAUUGAAGAGAUAUCCCCAAUAUAUCAUAAAUUUACUUCAGCAUUUGAAGAAGUCAUUAUUCCUCACAUUCCUUUGAGGAAAAUAGUUUGAAAGUCCAAAAGCAAGUCUGCAAAGUCAUGACAUGGUGAAUGUCUUCAGAGUCUUCCCUACUGUAGGGAAAGAGCUGAGGAAUAGAGCGGAUACCAGCACUGCCAUUGCUAGGACUGAAACUAUGAAAGAGACAGAAGGAAUCUUCUAGGAAACAUGGCAUGAGGCACGUGCUGCUACAUUGAUCCAGUUUGCACUGGACGAGAUGCUCAUGACUUCUCCUGGUUCUCAGACUCCUUGAAUUGGAUGGGGCAUGAUGGUUACACACUGAGGGCACAGUCUUCACUGCCUGAGUUUCACAUUGUUCAGAGGGGCCUUUUAAUUCUUCCCAGGGACACGUUUUCUUGAGUCUUCAUCACUAAAUUUUCUGGGCAGACGGAAUAGCAGAAAAAGCACUUAGGUGGGAAAACAUUUGGUGCAUUUGAGGAACUAAAAGAAGGCCAGUAGUUGUGGAAAAUGAGAAAUAUAUGUUAGAGUAGCGGCAAGUGAAACCACAGAGGUCGAGAGGGCCAAGCUUAGCAAAUCCCUGCAGGUGGCGAUGAGAUGCAUUUCUCUAGUUGCGAUGAGAUUUUUACUUUUUAACAAUCCAAUUAAUCAAGUAAACAACAAAGCUUAAGCAAUAGAGCAUGACUAAUAGUGUCAAACACCUUUCUGUGCCUCUCAUUGUUACUACUCCCACCCCUCCCCAGCUAAGUUUCCACUACGUAUUGUGAAAUGUAUAUUUACGAAUCAAUUGCUUUUGGUGUGGUUUUGUCUCGUAAGAAUGCUUUCCCAAACACACAUAUUGUGAUGUUUCAUACAAUUUUGACUUUUAUGGACAUAGAACAGUUCUACCUGUCUUCUUUGGCAACUGUAUCGAUGUCUCAACUUUGAUUUUCCUGAUUCACCCAUGUAAAUGUGUGCCAGUGUAAUUUUGCUAUGUAUAGUAUUCUAUCGCACGGCUAUACCUAUAGACAGCAGCUGUCUCCAGUUAUUAUUGUAACAAAUGCUGGUGCUAUGGACCUCUUUGUACAGGUCAUAUUGGGUAUGCCUGCGAGCACUUUUCUGGGACACAAAAAUAAGAGUAAAUUCGCUGAGCCAUAUCUUAUGCAUAUCUCCAAAUUUAAGAGAAAAUACCCAAUUGUUUUCCAAAAUAGUUGAACCAAUUUACAUUAUCAGCAAUAGAGUAUGAAUCCUCAUCUUUCUACAUGCUCACAAAAUGUUUUUAUUUUUUUAAAUUCGCCAGUCUUUUGAGUGUAAGAAUGUAUCUCAUGACUUUAAUUUGCCUUUGGUUCAUUAUUAACAAAAUUGAGCGUCAUGUCAUUUGUUAAUUUGUUUUCAUGUUUGUUUUCUAAUGAGUUGCCUAUUUGUAUUU